rnacentral:tRNA from 1 species
GCCUGGCUGGCUCAGUUGGAAGAGCAUCUGACUCUUUAUCUCAGAAUCAUGCGUUCGAGUCCCAUGUUGAGUG